UACGGAGGGGACUAGCGUUGUUCGGAAUUACUGGGCGUAAAGCGCACGUAGGCGGAUUUGUAAGUCAGGGGUGAAAUCCCGGGGCUCAACCUCGGAACUGCCUUUGAUACUGCAAAUCUCGAGUCCGGAAGAGGUGAGUGGAAUUCCUAGUGUAGAGGUGAAAUUCGUAGAUAUUAGGAAGAACACCAGUGGCGAAGGCGACUCGCUGGACAAGUAUUGACGCUGAGGUGCGAAAGCGUGGGGAGCAAACAGG
rnacentral:rRNA from 1 species